UUUACCAGAACUGAAUUAAUACUAGGUUGUUUAAUUAUUGUCUACUUAUCUGAUUUAAAGUAAAAAUUUAUUAAAAAGAUACAAAUCAAUGCCAUGUGAUACACAAAAGGUAUACUAUAUAAAUAAAAAUAUAUAUAUAAAUUUAGUCAAGCUGGCUUUGAUAUCAUUGUUAAACAAGUAUAAUAUUAAGCAGGCGAUACAAGAUUUUCAAACCUGUGGACAAUACAGGACUUAUUUUGUUGAAAUCGAUUUAUUGAAUUUUACAAAUUUGAUUGUUUAUUAUCAAGGAAAUUGAUUGGUCAUUGUUUUCGAAUUGAAUUGAACAAGUUGAUACAAAAAAGGGUAGACACUCAAUUAAUAAAUUUGUCAGAUUUGAUAAAUCAACAACAUCAUUCACGGUCAUUUACGGCAGGAAAAAAAGUGUGCGCAUGCGCCAUUAUUUGUUAUCAAAUUUUCUGCCGCAAGCGAUUCAUAAUGGCCACCAUCGCACGUGCUUUAAAUUUCCCUUAAAAACAAAUGUUUUUCGAGCCUCUGCGGUAGAGAUCAUCUCUUAAAAAGAUUUUAUUUUAGUAGAGCAGGCCUUGGACUAUACAAAAACUCUGGAUUCCACUACCCGAUCACUUUCACUUUUGUUGGGAGGAGACAGAAAGAAUAGCAAUGUUUUGAUCAUAAAAUUUUAUAUGUUGUUGGAAAAUGAAGAAAUUAGCCUUCCAACGCAAAGUCAUGCUUUAAGACAUGUGUUUCCUGAAAGCUGAUAGCCUAUUUUAUCAAAUAAAACCAGUGGUUUGUGGCUGCCACUUUUUUUCUGAAAGAAAUUGGUCCUUGGAAAUGACCUUUCACAAGACUUCAUAAAUCGGGCACCAGUCCCAAAUUGUUCUAUGAUACAAAACAUGUUGGCACGAUUUCAUUGAAGUAAUUUUGACCCAACAAUUCACAAUUUCAAGCGUCAUUCAAACGUGAUUUGCAUGUGAAGAUUUGUUGACAGAAGCGGUUAAAAAAAAAAGAUGGAACAAUGAUGAAACAGAGGAGCUUGCGGAUUUGCUCGAUUACCACUUUUUGUUGGAUGCGUUUGAAAUAAGAAUAUAUUCGUUAAAUACAGAUUAUGAAUUGAAAUAAAAAAUACUUGUAAUAGCCUAAUUUGUAAACUAUUUUUAUAUAAUUCAGAUUGA